UACUUGGCAACCUGGCUCUCUUUGAUGAUCCUCCUAAAGAUGAAGAUUCCAUGGUUUCUUCUCUUAACUGAAUCAAAAUAGACUUAAAAGUUUUAGAAAUUUGUUGGAAAAUUUCUGUACUCAGCAAAGUGGCCAAUGUUCAUAUUCUACAGUAAGACUUGAUGAAGAAAGGUGAUUAAUUAUGAUCAAGCAAGAGCAAUAAAAGAGUCAAAUUGUUUGCAAAAGAAGACUGGAUACUUGUCACAUCACAGAGUCAGUCAUCAAAUCCCAGCCACAAUCGUGGCUGAAAGGCAAGAUAAGCAUUCCGAAUAAGAAAGCAAUAGUAGUUUUUGUUGCCUCCUAUACAUACAUACGAACCGCAAAAUACAACAAAAACCGUAUAUGGAUGCCAACUGUCCACUUCCCAGAUUAAAUUAUUACGGCCAUGCACAGUAAAUUUUGGCAGGGGUAAGAAAUGGAUACCUGAGAGAAGGUAGAAGACAAGACAAGGUCCAAUCUUGGUAAAGCCGAGCUCAGUAGUAAGAACUGACUAUUAUAUUAAUAGACAGAAAGCCUUGGGAGUUGGAAGUGGGAACUAUGGGAAGUAGUUAAGAAGCGGAACGUACGAAGAAACUGGGAAAGAUGGAGAAGUAAAGAGGAGGAACAGAGUAAUGAGUGUCUUUUGAAGAAGCAGCAGCAGCAGCCAUUAAUGGUCUGACAGAAGGAGCUGCUCAGCAGCAAUCGAAGAGUUUUGCCUUACUUUGAGCAAAGGAAGACAGUGACGACAGUUAGGGGAAGAUAUGAGGGUUUGUCUGGAAAAAGGAGAGCUAGGGAGCUAGAAGUAGUAGAAGCAGGGGAGUGGAAUUAUUGCAACUGAACUGAUUGGGGGGAAGAGGAUAACGUCAACAGCUUUGGAA
rnacentral:lncRNA from 1 species